UACGGAAGGUAGCAGUGGGGAAUAUUGCACAAUGGGCGAAAGCCUGAUGCAGCUAUGCCGCGUGUAUGAAGAAGGCCUUAGGGUUGUAAAGUACUUUCAUCGGGGAGGAAAAAACAAAACUAAUAAUUUUAUUUCUUGACGUUACCCGAAAAAGAAGCACCGGCUAACUCCGUGCCAGCAGCCGCGGUAAUACGGAGGGUGCUAGCGUUAAUCAGAAUUACUGGGCGUAAAGAGCACGUAGGUGGUUUUUUUAAAGUCAGAUGUGAAAUCCCUGGGCUUAACCUAGGAACUGCAUUUUGAAACUGAAAUACUAGAGUAUCGUAGAGGGAGGUAGAAUUCUAGGUGUAGCGGUGAAAUGCGUAGAUAUCUGGAGGAAUACCUGUGGCGAAAGCGGCCUCCUAAACGAAUACUGACACUGAGGGUGCGAAAGCGUGGGGAGCAAACAGGGAUUAGAUACC
rnacentral:rRNA from 1 species